AGUGAACGCUGGCGGUAGGCCUAACACAUGCAAGUCGAACGGCAGCACAGUAAGAGCUUGCUCUUACGGGUGGCGAGUGGCGGACGGGUGAGGAAUACAUCGGAAUCUACUUUUUCGUGGGGGAUAACGUAGGGAAACUUACGCUAAUACCGCAUACGACCUACGGGUGAAAGCAGGGGAUCUUCGGCCCUUGCGCGAUUGAAUGAGCCGAUGUCGGAUUAGCUAGUUGGCGGGGUAAAGGCCCACCAAGGCGACGAUCCGUAGCUGGUCUGAGAGGAUGAUCAGCCACACUGGAACUGAGACGCGGUCCAGACUCCUACGGGAGGCAGCAGUGGGGAAUAUUGGACAAUGGGCGCAAGCCUGAUCCAGCCAUACCGCGUGGGUGAAGAAGGCCUUCGGGUUGUAAAGCCCUUUUGUUGGGAAAGAAAAGCAGCAGGUUAAUACCCCGCUGUUCUGACGGUACCCAAAGAAUAAGCACCGGCUAACUUCGUG
rnacentral:rRNA from 1 species